rnacentral:tRNA from 1 species
UCUGGGUGGUGUAGUCGGUUAUCACGCUAGUCUCACACACUAGAGGUCCCCAGUUCGAACCUGGGCUCAGA